GUGGGGAAUAUUGGACAAUGGGCGAAAGCCUGAUCCAGCCAUGCCGCGUGUGUGAAGAAGGUCUUCGGAUUGUAAAGCACUUUAAGUUGGGAGGAAGGGCAGUAAGUUAAUACCUUGCUGUUUUGACGUUACCGACAGAAUAAGCACCGGCUAACUUCGUGCCAGCAGCCGCGGUAAUACGAAGGGUGCAAGCGUUAAUCGGAAUUACUGGCCGUAAAGCGCGCGUAGGUGGUUUUGUAAGUUGGAGGUGAAAUCCCCGGGCUCAACCUGGGAACUGCCUCCAAAACUGCAUGACUAGAGUACGGUAGAGGGUAGUGGAAUUUCCUGUGUAGCGGUGAAAUGCGUAGAUAUAGGAAGGAACACCAGUGGCGAAGGCGACUACCUGGACUGAUACUGACACUGAGGUGCGAAAGCGUGGGGAGCAAACAGGAUUAGAAACCCGUGUAGUCC
rnacentral:rRNA from 1 species